UACGAAGGGGGCUAGCGUUGUUCGGAAUUACUGGGCGUAAAGGGCGCGUAGGCGGUUUGCAUAGUCAGACGUGAAAUUCCUGGGCUUAACCUGGGGGCUGCGUUUGAUACAUGCAGGCUUGAGUUCGGAAGAGGGUCGUGGAAUUCCCAGUGUAGAGGUGAAAUUCGUAGAUAUUGGGAAGAACACCGGUGGCGAAGGCGGCGACCUGGUCCGAUACUGACGCUGAGGCGCGAAAGCGUGGGGAGCAAACAGG
rnacentral:rRNA from 1 species